GAUGAACGCUGGCGGCGUGCCUAAUACAUGCAAGUCGAGCGAACAGACGAGGAGCUUGCUCCUCUGAUGUUAGCGGCGGACGGGUGAGUAACACGUGGAUAACCUACCUAUAAGACUGGGAUAACUUCGGGAAACCGGAGCUAAUACCGGAUAAUAUAUUGAACCGCAUGGUUCAAUAGUGAAAGACGGUCUUGCUGUCACUUAUAGAUGGAUCCGCGCCGCAUUAGCUAGUUGGUAAGGUAACGGCUUACCAAGGCAACGAUGCGUAGCCGACCUGAGAGGGUGAUCGGCCACACUGGAACUGAGACACGGUCCAGACUCCUACGGGAGGCAGCAGUAGGGAAUCUUCCGCAAUGGGCGAAAGCCUGACGGAGCAACGCCGCGUGAGUGAUGAAGGUCUUCGGAUCGUAAAACUCUGUUAUUAGGGAAGAACAAAUGUGUAAGUAACUGUGCACGUCUUGACGGUACCUAAUCAGAAAGCCACGGCUAACUACGUG
rnacentral:rRNA from 1 species